rnacentral:rRNA from 1 species
UACGGAGGGUGCAAGCGUUAUCCGGAUUCACUGGGUUUAAAGGGUGCGUAGGCGGGCAGGUAAGUCAGUGGUGAAAUCCUAGAGCUCAACUCUGGAACUGCCAUUGAUACUAUCUGUCUUGAAUAUUGUGGAGGUAAGCGGAAUAUGUCAUGUAGCGGUGAAAUGCUUAGAUAUGACAUAGAACACCUAUUGCGAAGGCAGCUUACUACGCAUAUAUUGACGCUGAGGCACGAAAGCGUGGGGAUCAAACAGG